GAACGGAAACAGGCGGUAGCAAUACUGCGCUGUCGAGUGGCGCACGGGUGCGUAACACGUAUGCAACCUACCCUUAACUGGGGAAUAACCCUGUGAAAGCGGGGCUAAUACCCCAUAAUAUUAUGGUAAGGCAUCUUACUAUUAUCAAAGAUUUAUCGGUUAGGGAUGGGCAUGCGCCCCAUUAGUUAGUUGGUUAGGUAACGGCUAACCAAGACUGUGAUGGGUAGGGGUUCUGAGAGGAUUAUCCCCCACACUGGUACUGAGACACGGACCAGACUCCUACGGGAGGCAGCAGUAAGGAAUAUUGGGCAAUGGACGCAAGUCUGACCCAGCCAUGCCGCGUGCAGGAUGACGGCCUUAUGGGUUGUAAACUGCUUUUGUAUGGGAUUAAAGUGUUGUACGUGUACGACAUUGCAAGUACCAUACGAAUAAGCAUCGGCUAACUCCGUGCCAGCAGCCGCGGUAAUACGGAGGAUGCAAGCGUUAUCCGGAAUCAUUGGGUUUAAAGGGUGCGUAGGUUGAUUAUUAAGUCAGUGGUGAAAAUUCCGGGCUCAACCCGGGACUUGCCGUUGAAACUGAUAAUCUUGAGUGUAACUGAUGUGGGCGGAAUGUGUCAAGUAGCGGUGAAAUGCCUAGAUAGGACACAGAACACCGAUAGCGAAGGCAGCUCACAAAAUUACAACUGACACUGAGGCACGAAAGCGUGGGUAUCAAACAGGAUUAGAUACCCUGGUAGUCCACGCUGUAAACGAUGGUCACUAGCUGUUUGCGAUACAUUGUAAGUGGUUAAGCGAAAGCGAUAAGUGAUCCACCUGGGGAGUACGUCGGCAACGAUGAAACUCAAAGGAAUUGACGGGGGCCCGCACAAGCGGAGGAGCAUGUGGUUUAAUUCGAUGAUACGCGAGGAACCUUACCUGGGCUUGAACGUAUGGUGCAUGAGUGUGAAAGCACUCUUUCC
rnacentral:rRNA from 1 species